CCUACGGGAGGCUGCAGUGGGGAAUAUUGCACAAUGGGGGCAACUCUGAUGCAGCAACGCCGCGUGAAGGAAGACGGUUUUCGGAUUGUAAACUUCUAUCAAUAGGGAAGAAAGCCAUGACGGUACCUCAAUAACAAGCCCCGGCUAACUACGUGCCAGCAGCCGCGGUAAUACGUAGGGGGCAAGCGUUAUCCGGAAUUACUGGGUGUAAAGGGAGAGUAGGCGGCAAGGUAAGCGAUAUGUAAAAGCCUUAAGCUUAACUAAAGGAUUGCAUAACGAACUAUCUAGCUAGAGUACAGGAGAGGAAAGCGGAAUUCCUAGUGUAGCGGUGAAAUGCGUAGAUAUUAGGAAGAACACCAGUGGCGAAGGCGGCUUACUGGACUGAAACUGACGCUGAGGCUCGAAAGCGUGGGGAGCGAACAGGAUUAGAUACCCGAGUAGUC
rnacentral:rRNA from 1 species